GCCCUCCCUCGGGCCUCGGCCCCGGGGCAGCCCGGCUCGCCGGGCCCGAAAGGUGCCAUCCCCACGGGGUUAGGCCUGUUGCCGAACUUGGCCAGGACGGCCGAAGAUAAAGCAUUUCUUCCGCACACCACCGAGGUGGUCCAUACAGUGGUAAAUUUAUUGUACUAUUUCAACUUAAACCCAACAUGCGAAUGGAGCACCGCAGAUCUGAAGAUGUGUUUUGGAAAGCAAUGUCACUAGUUAACAUUAAGGUGGUAGAAUUGCUUGAAAAGGCUCCCUGCCACCUGUGUUCAGCUGUACUAAGUUGGCUAUGAAGAAGGGGCACGGAGACAAUUAAGGAUAGACUUGCUUCCAUUGAAGGAAGGACUGACUGAGUCAUGAUUCUUCUGCCUGGAGGUAAGAUGGAUGAGGGAUUGUUAUGGCAAAAGUCUGUAGGAUCCUAAGUGAGCAUGGUGAGCUUGAGCAGGGCAUGAUU